UCUGGUAUUGAUUGGUGCUUGCAUCAUGAUUUACAUUUGAGUGAGUGGCGAACUGGUGAGUAACACGUGGGAAACCUGCCCAGAAGCGGGGGAUAACACCUGGAAACAGAUGCUAAUACCGCAUAACAACUUGGACCGCAUGGUCCGAGCUUGAAAGAUGGCUUCGGCUAUCACUUUUGGAUGGUCCCGCGGCGUAUUAGCUAGAUGGUGGGGUAACGGCUCACCAUGGCAAUGAUACGUAGCCGACCUGAGAGGGUAAUCGGCCACAUUGGGACUGAGACACGGCCCAAACUCCUACGGGAGGCAGCAGUAGGGAAUCUUCCACAAUGGACGAAAGUCUGAUGGAGCAACGCCGCGUGAGUGAAGAAGGGUUUCGGCUCGUAAAACUCUGUUGUUAAAGAAGAACAUAUCUGAGAGUAACUGUUCAGGUAUUGACGGUAUUUAACCAGAAAGCCACGGCUAACUACGUGCCAGCAGCCGCGGUAAUACGUAGGUGGCAAGCGUUGUCCGGAUUUAUUGGGCGUAAAGCGAGCGCAGGCGGUUUUUUAAGUCUGAUGUGAAAGCCUUCGGCUCAACCGAAGAAGUGCAUCGGAAACUGGGAAACUUGAGUGCAGAAGAGGACAGUGGAACUCCAUGUGUAGCGGUGAAAUGCGUAGAUAUAUGGAAGAACACCAGUGGCGAAGGCGGCUGUCUGGUCUGUAACUGACGCUGAGGCUCGAAAGUAUGGGUAGCAAACAGGAUUAGAUACCCUGGUAGUCCAUACCGUAAACGAUGAAUGCUAAGUGUUGGAGGGUUUCCGCCCUUCAGUGCUGCAGCUAACGCAUUAAGCAUUCCGCCUGGGGAGUACGGCCGCAAGGCUGAAACUCAAAGGAAUUGACGGGGGCCCGCACAAGCGGUGGAGCAUGUGGUUUAAUUCGAAGCUACGCGAAGAACCUUACCAGGUCUUGACAUACUAUGCAAAUCUAAGAGAUUAGACGUUCCCUUCGGGGACAUGGAUACAGGUGGUGCAUGGUUGUCGUCAGCUCGUGUCGUGAGAUGUUGGGUUAAGUCCCGCAACGAGCGCAACCCUUAUUAUCAGUUGCCAGCAUUAAGUUGGGCACUCUGGUGAGACUGCCGGUGACAAACCGGAGGAAGGUGGGGAUGACGUCAAAUCAUCAUGCCCCUUAUGACCUGGGCUACACACGUGCUACAAUGGAUGGUACAACGAGUUGCGAACUCGCGAGAGUAAGCUAAUCUCUUAAAGCCAUUCUCAGUUCGGAUUGUAGGCUGCAACUCGCCUACAUGAAGUCGGAAUCGCUAGUAAUCGCGGAUCAGCAUGCCGCGGUGAAUACGUUCCCGGGCCUUGUACACACCGCCCGUCACACCAUGAGAGUUUGUAACACCCAAAGUCGGUGGGGUAA
rnacentral:rRNA from 2 species